rnacentral:rRNA from 1 species
AGAGUUUGAUCCUGGCUCAGGAUGAACGCUGGCGGCGUGCUUAACACAUGCAAGUCGAACGAACCUUCGGGUUAGUGGCGGACGGGUGAGUAACGCGUGGGAAUCUGCCCUCAGGAGGGGGAUAACGGCCGGAAACGGCCGCUAAUACCCCAUAUGCCGAGAGGUGAAAUGAAUUUCGCCUGAGGAUGAGCCCGCGUCUGAUUAGCUAGUUGGUGAGGUAAGAGCUCACCAAGGCAUCGAUCAGUAGCUGGUCUGAGAGGAUGAUCAGCCACACUGGGACUGGGACACGGCCCAGACUCCUACGGGAGGCAGCAGUGGGGAAUUUUCCGCAAUGGGCGAAAGCCUGACGGAGCAACGCCGCGUGAGGGAUGAAGGCCUCUGGGCUGUAAACCUCUUUUAUCAAGGAAGAAGAUCUGACGGUACUUGAUGAAUAAGCCACGGCUAAUUCCGUGCCAGCAGCCGCGGUAAUACGGGAGUGGCAAGCGUUAUCCGGAAUUAUUGGGCGUAAAGCGUCCGCAGGCGGCCCUACAAGUCUGCUGUUAAAAAGUGGAGCUUAACUCCAUCAUGGCAGUGGAAACUGUUGGGCUCGAGUGUGGUAGGGGCAGAGGGAAUUCCCGGUGUAGCGGUGAAAUGCGUAGAUAUCGGGAAGAACACCAGUGGCGAAGGCGCUCUGCUGGGCCAUCACUGACGCUCAUGGACGAAAGCCAGGGGAGCGAAAGGGAUUAGAUACCCCUGUAGUCCUGCCCGUAAACGAUGAACACUACGUGUCGGGGGAAUCGACCCCUCCGGUGUCGUAGCCAACGCGUAAGUGUUCCGCCUGGGGAGUACGCACGCAAGUGUGAAACUAUUGGGAUUGACGGGGGCCCGCUACAACCGUUGGACUAUGUGGUUAC